GAGUUUGAUCUUGGCUCAGAUUGAACGCUGGCGGCAGGCCUAACACAUGCAAGUCGAGCGGUAGAGAGAAGCUUGCUUCUCUUGAGAGCGGCGGACGGGUGAGUAAUGCCUAGGAAUCUGCCUGGUAGUGGGGGAUAACGCUCGGAAACGGACGCUAAUACCGCAUACGUCCUACGGGAGAAAGCAGGGGACCUUCGGGCCUUGCGCUAUCAGAUGAGCCUAGGUCGGAUUAGCUAGUUGGUGAGGUAAUGGCUCACCAAGGCGACGAUCCGUAACUGGUCUGAGAGGAUGAUCAGUCACACUGGAACUGAGACACGGUCCAGACUCUACGGAGGCAGCAGUGGGGAAUAUUGGACAAUGGGCGAAAGCCUGAUCCAGCCAUGCCGCGUGUGUGAAGAAGGUCUUCGGAUUGUAAAGCACUUUAAGUUGGGAGGAAGGGCAGUAAAUUAAUAACUUUGCUGUUUUGACGUUACCGACAGAAUAAGCACCGGCUAACUC
rnacentral:rRNA from 1 species